AACGAACGCUGGCGGCAUGCCUAACACAUGCAAGUCGAACGAGACCUUCGGGUCUAGUGGCGCACGGGUGCGUAACGCGUGGGAACCUGCCCUUAGGUUCGGAAUAACUCCCCGAAAGGGGUGCUAAUACCGGAUAAUGUCUUCGGACCAAAGAUUUAUCGCCUUUGGAUGGGCCCGCGUUGGAUUAGCUAGUUGGUAGGGUAAAAGCCUACCAAGGCGACGAUCCAUAGCUGGUCUGAGAGGAUGAUCAGCCACACUGGGACUGAGACACGGCCCAGACUCCUACGGGAGGCAGCAGUGGGGAAUAUUGGACAACGGGCGAAAGCCUGAUCCAGCAAGGCCGCGUGAGUGAUGAAGGCCUUAGGGUUGUAAAGCUCUUUUACCCGGGAUGAUAAUGACAGUACCGGGAGAAUAAGCUCCGGCUAACUCCGUG
rnacentral:rRNA from 1 species